rnacentral:lncRNA from 1 species
AGAAGGCUUAUGCACUGACUGUGUGAUCAUUAUCUGCACAAAGAAGGUGUUUCUUGAUUGAUCAUUGAAGGCUUGGCAUCCUGUGAAGACUGCUGCGUUGAUUGAAGGCUUGGCAUCCUAUGAAGACUGUUGUGUUAAGGCUUGGCAUCCUGUGAAGAAUGUUGGUUACACGUUGAGGAUUUUUCGACGUGGGUUCAGAUUCUGGUUUUGUUGUGCAGCUAUAUUUUGGUUUUGGGUUAGAGAGGAGGUUUAUAUUUUUGCGUGAGGCUUCUAUAAAUUCCUUGUUGUAAAAACCGCAACCAUUAUAGUGUAUUUGCUUCCUGGGUUGGAAGGACACUGGAUGUAGGCAUUGUUGGCCGAACCAAUAUAAAAACCAGUGUUUGAUUUUCUCUAUCCCCGCAUUCUUUAUUUCCAGUCGACUCUAUUUGUGUAGUAGUCAACUACGUUUUUCCACUGCAUAGAAAUUUUCAUUACUUGCAUUUCAAGAAAGAUAAAAAAGCUUUAUAGUUUUGUAGGUUAAAAUACCUUUUUAGUCCCCAAGUUCGAAUCGAAAUUUUCGUUUUGUCCCCGGUUUCAAAAAUGAAGCCCUUUGGUCCCCAUGUUUUCAAUUUUGAGUGCAAUCGGUCCCUUCCGUUAAGUAGAUGCUAACGGCGUUAACUUUUCUUCUCUCUCCUAUGCUAUUCCUGACACUUCUUUUUCUCUCUCCUAUUUCUCUUCUCUCCUAUUUUUUAUUUUUUAUUUUUUAUUUUAUUUUAUUUUGUUUUAUUAUUUUUAGUUUACUUUGAUUUAGUUUAGUUUUUUAUCUGAUUUGAGUUGAUUUUUUAUAUUCUUUUUGAAAAAAAAUAAUAAUAAAAAAAUAAUAAUAAAAAAAAAAGAAAAGAGGCACGUGAGUAAUUUUCUUUUGAGAAAAAAAUCGUUCCUCUAUCAGCAUACGGGGGGCACUGACUACAGGAUCAACAUAAUCCAUCACGCACUGCAGGCAUUUCCCCUUACCACUACCUGAGGAAAAACCCGUAACGACCGAAGGAGAUUUUCGGUUUUUGAUUCCCAAUUCACUUCACACACUCCGGCUAGCUACAUCACACACACCAAGCCUGGUUGCGGAGGGGAUCAUCCAAUCCACUGCACCUAUUAUCCCCAGUAAGAAAGCCAUCAUCUCCUCCAUCAUAGAUACACAAAAGAGAAGAAACAAAAGACAGAGAAAACGGCCAAGGGAAGGAAGGAGGUGAUCGAAGGUGCUAGGCUGACAAUAGCAAACGAACUACAAGAGGUAGGUAUUGUCUUGCUCAUUAUCGUCGUCGUGCUCUAAUCUAGUAAGCCUGCUGCAUUGUGUUCUUCGUUUCAUGUUUGUUGUUGCUCUGUUUAAGUAUGGUUGUUGUGCUACUUUUCCCUUUAUCCAUCAUUAUCUUCGACUGAAAUUGACAAGCUAUCAUCAAAUGAAAAAUAUUAUCGAAUAAUCAC